rnacentral:rRNA from 1 species
UACGUAGGGUGCGAGCGUUAAUCGGAAUUACUGGGCGUAAAGGGUGCGCAGGCGGCGUCGCAAGUCAGGCGUGAAAUCCCCGGGCUUAACCUGGGAACUGCACUUGAAACUACGAUGCUGGAGUAUGGCAGAGGGGGGUGGAAUUCCACGUGUAGCGGUGAAAUGCGUAGAGAUGUGGAGGAACACCGAUGGCGAAGGCAGCCUCCUGGGCCAAUACUGACGCUCAUGCACGAAAGCGUGGGGAGCAAACAGG